UCCCUGGUGGCUUAGACAGUAAAGCAUCUGCCUGCAAUGUGGGAGACCUGGGUUCAAUCCCUGGGUUGGGAA
rnacentral:tRNA from 1 species